AAAAAUAUAAAAGUUUAAGAAGACAAAGUAGAAACAGUCAAUGGCUCCAUUUCUCUGGCAAACUAAUCAACCAAACUGUUCUAUCUACAUUUGACGGGAAACCCAAAAUUUCAGUGAUCCCACACUAAUGUUCACAUUGUUUUUCUGCUAUAUAGGAACACUUUUAACAUGUUCCCUCUGUCUCACUGUUUGUCAUGUACUCUCUGUAGACUACUUUGCCAACAUUAAAAUGAAAUGUUCAGCAUCAAGCUCAUCAUUCCUGUCUCACUUCACUCCGAAAUCUGCUAGCCACAGAGUUAAAAGGACAGGAUUAAGAGUCAUUAGACACAGUAUUAAGGAGAAUUAAAGGGCCUGUUCAAGAGGCAUAACAUCUGCUCCUCAAAUUCCUGCCUAAACAACGAAGAUUCCGAUCAAAGAGAAGAGAGGGAAAGCCAAUCUAACCAGUAAACCGGAGUCAUGAGGAAGUGAAUGCUCUCUCAGGGAGUAACUCUGACACCAGAGGAAGGCUUAGUGACAUUGCACAAUUGUUUCUGUGAAGUCAUUCAUGGGGCAAGUGGGAGUAUAUGAGUAGAAGUGGAAGGGAGUGGGAAGGUGAAGAUUGAGGAUCCUUUUAAGUAGUUUUUGCUCAGCUAGCAAAACAAGCUGGGACAUGCAAGACAGAUAAACACAGCUGUUUGGGGCUGUCACUUGGGGCUCAGGAGCCAAGGUGUCCUGCUGUAGUGAAAAGUGCACCGGAAUUAAAUAGCUAGGCUUCUAAGCCCUACCACAGAGAGUCAACAGACAAACUGCCCAGGGAAAAGUUAUGACCUCAGGCAAAGUGAAUUUCUACAGCUAAGGCAGAUCCUGAAGAAGCUCACAAAUAAAGGCUGCAUACUCACACAUUCCCUGAAGCUUGACAGUGCCAGCCACCAUACUGUGAGGGAGCUGAAGUAAGCCCACAUGAGGAAGAAUUGAGGUCCCAAGCCAACAGCUGCAGCUAAGAUCCAAGCUCUCAACCAGUACCAGUUCAUCCGUUAUUUCCCAACAAUAUCAAUGAAUAAGAAGGAAGUCUUAAGGCUCCAGGAAUCCCCUCAGGGAGACUAGCUUUCAGAAUUUUAGGCACACUAAGAUAUGGAAGCUAAAAGAGGACUAAGAGGAUUCUGGGGAUAUUACAAGAUAUUGCAGACUAUCUUGUUUUCCUGGAAAAGGAUUUUACCUCAGUCGACUGAAUUACUUUUUUCACUGUGUCUUGCCACUCUUCGUGCAUGCAUCAAAGACCCUAAUAUGACUUCUGGUGGCCUGGGACUCCUUGGGAAAACAGAAAAGGGGCCACAAAUCCCAUUUUGGGAACAAUCUGUUUUACUCAUGGAACCCCUGGAAUUAGAG